AUUGAACGCUGGCGGCAUGCCUUACACAUGCAAGUCGAACGGUAGAGGGGGCAACCCCUUGAGAGUGGCGAACGGGUGAGUAAUGCAUCGGAACGUGCCCAGUUGUGGGGGAUAACGUAGCGAAAGCUACGCUAAUACCGCAUACGACCUGAGGGUGAAAGCGGGGGACUCGCAAGAGCCUCGCGCAAUUGGAGCGGCCGAUGUCAGAUUAGCUAGUUGGUGGGGUAAAGGCCUACCAAGGCGACGAUCUGUAGCUGGUCUGAGAGGACGACCAGCCACACUGGGACUGAGACACGGCCCAGACUCCUACGGGAGGCAGCAGUGGGGAAUUUUGGACAAUGGACGCAAGUCUGAUCCAGCCAUGCCGCGUGCAGGAAGAAGGCCU
rnacentral:rRNA from 1 species